AGUGAAAUUUGGUAGGUCAUAUGGUAAGUCUAUAUUUAAUCCAUUGAGGAAUUCCCAGACUUUUCUAAAAUGGCUAUACCAUUUUACAUUCCCAUUGUCAGU
rnacentral:pre_miRNA from 1 species